CAGCUUGCUCUGGUUGAUCAGUGGCGAACGGGUGAGUAACACGUGAGUAACCUGCCCUUGACUCUGGGAUAACUCCGGGAAACCGGGGCUAAUACCGGAUACGAGACGCGACCGCAUGGUCGGCGUCUGGAAAGUUUUUCGGUCAAGGAUGGACUCGCGGCCUAUCAGCUUGUUGGUGAGGUAAUGGCUCACCAAGGCGUCGACGGGUAGCCGGCCUGAGAGGGCGACCGGCCACACUGGGACUGAGACACGGCCCAGACUCCUACGGGAGGCAGCAGUGGGGAAUAUUGCACAAUGGGCGAAAGCCUGAUGCAGCGACGCCGCGUGAGGGAUGAAGGCCUUCGGGUUGUAAACCUCUUUCAGUAGGGAAGAAGCGAAAGUGACGGUACCUGCAGAAGAAGCGCCGGCUAACUACGUGCCAGCAGCCGCGGUAAUACGUAGGGCGCAAGCGUUGUCCGGAAUUAUUGGGCGUAAAGAGCUCGUAGGCGGUUUGUCGCGUCUGGUGUGAAAACUCA
rnacentral:rRNA from 1 species